CAGCAGGUUAAAGGACCAACGAGUUUGGUCUGCGUCGUGUUUACAUUUUUGCCAUGGAAAAAAAUAUUGAGAUACUGGUAUCGUCCCGGCCCUAAAUGUGACCCCACCCAGAUGUACUGUGUGUGGGCAUCCAAACCAACAGCAAUGGGGUUGCAUCCUCAACGACACCCUAUUCCCUAUGCAGGCCCUGGUCAAAAGCAGUGUACUAUAUAGGGAAUAGGGUUCCAUUUGGGAUGCAACCUAUGUGGGCUGUUAGUAAACCAACAGGACAGGAGGUAGGCCUAGUGAGGGAGGGGCCCUCCUCUGUUAGUGAACCAACAGGACAGGAGGUAGGCCUAGUGAGGGAGGGGCCCUCCUCUGUUAGUGAACCAACAGGACAGGAGGUAGGCCUAGUGAGGGAGGGGCCCUCCUCUGUUAGUGAACCAACAGGACAGGAGGUAGGCCUAGUGAGGGAGGGGCCCUCCUCUGUUAGUGAACCAACAGGACAGGAGGUAGGCCUAGUGAGGGAGGGACCCUCCUCUGUUAGUGAACCAACAGGACAGGAGGUAGGCCUAGUGAGGGAGGGGCCCUCCUCUGUUAGUGAACCAACAGGACAGGAGGUAGACCUAGUGAGGGGCCCUCCUCUGUUAGUGAACCAACAGGACAGGAGGUAGGCCUAGUGAGGGAGGGGCCCUCCUCUGUUAGUGAACCAACAGGACAGGAGGUAGGCCUAGUGAGGGAGGGGCCCUCCUCUGUUAGUGAACCAACAGGACAGGAGGUAGGCCUAGUGAGGGAGGGGCCCUCCUCUGUUAGUGAACCAACAGGACAGGAGGUAGACCUAGUGAGGGGCCCUCCUCUGUUAGUGAACCAACAGGACAGGAGGUAGGCCUAGUGAGG
rnacentral:lncRNA from 1 species